GCCCACGUAGCUCAGUGGCAGAGCACUUCUUUGGUAAAGAAGAGGUCAUGGGUCCGAUUCCCAUCGUGGGCUCCA
rnacentral:tRNA from 1 species